rnacentral:rRNA from 1 species
GGAGCAAGACCGCGUGAGGGAGGAAGGCUCUUGGGUUGUAAACCUCUUUUCUCAGGGAAGAAGCUCUGACGGUACCUGAGGAAUCAGCCUCGGCUAACUCCGUGCCAGCAGCCGCGGUAAUACGGAGGAGGCAAGCGUUAUCCGGAAUUAUUGGGCGUAAAGCGUCCGCAGGUGGCGAUUCAAGUCUGCUGUCAAAGCACGGGGCUUAACUCCGUUAAGGCAGUGGAAACUGAAUAGCUAGAGUGCCGUAGGGGUAGAGGGAAUUCCCGGUGUAGCGGUGAAAUGCGUAGAGAUCGGGAAGAACAUCGGUGGCGAAAGCGCUCUACUGGACGGCAACUGACACUCAGGGACGAAAGCUAGGGGAGCGAAUGGGAUUAGAUACCCCAGUAGUC